GACGAACGCUGGCGGCGUGCUUAACACAUGCAAGUCGAACGGAAAGGCCCUGCUUUUGUGGGGUGCUCGGGUGGCGAACGGGUGAGUAACAUGUGAGUAACCUGCCCUUGACUUUGGUAUAACUUCAGGAAACUGGGGCUAAUAUCGGAUAGGAGCUCCUGCUGCAUGGUGGGGGUUGGAAAGUUUCGGCGGUUGGGGAUGGACUCGGGGCUUAUCAGCUUGUUGGUGGGGUAGUGGCUUACCAAGGCUUUGAAGGGUAGCCGGCCUGAGAGGGUGACCGGCCACAUUGGGACUGAGAUACGGCCCAGACUCCUACGGGAGGCAGCAGUGGGGAAUAUUGUACAGUGGGCGGAAGCCUGAUGCAGCAACGCCGCGUGCGUGAUGACGGCCUUCGGGUAGUAAACCGCUUUCGCCUGUGACGAAGCUUGAGUGACGGUAAUUGGUAAAGAAGCACCGGCUAACUACGUG
rnacentral:rRNA from 1 species